rnacentral:rRNA from 1 species
UACGUAGGUGGCAAGCGUUGUCCGGAUUUACUGGGCGUAAAGAGCGCGCAGGCGGCUGGUCAAGUCCGAUGUGAAAUCUCCCGGCUUAACUGGGAAACUGCAUCGGAAACUGAUCGGCUUGAAGGUGGGAGAGGGUAGUGGAAUUCCCGGUGUAGUGGUGAGAUGCGUAGAUAUCGGGAGGAACACCAGUGGCGAAGGCGACUACCUGGCCCAUUCUUGAUGCUGAGGCGCGAAAGCUAGGGGAGCGAACGGG